UACAGAGGGUGCGAGCGUUGUUCGGAAUUAUUGGGCGUAAAGGGCGCGUAGGCGGCGCCACAAGUCACUUGUGAAAACUCUGGGCUCAACUCAGAGCCUGCAAGCGAAACUGUGGUGCUGGAGUAUGGGAGAGGUGCGUGGAAUUCCCGGUGUAGCGGUGAAAUGCGCAGAUAUCAGGAGGAACGCCAGCAGCGAAAGCGGCACACUGGGCCUUUUCUGACGCUGAGGCACGAAAGCCAGGGAGCGAACGGG
rnacentral:rRNA from 1 species